CCUCUCGUCUGGGCUGAGGGCGGCAGUCGGCGCGACCGAUCGAACUCGUCCGAGAGCUCAUUUAUCCGGCUAAUGAGCGCCGCUCCAAUCUCGGAAAGGAGUGGCACCGGCCGGCCGAUCAUACCUGCUAUUGGCCCGACGCUCACCUGUUGAGCCCGGCCAAUCGAUGCUGGUCGCCGCCGCCGCCGCCGCUAGCGGGCGCACCGUCGCGCCGCCGCAUAGACUCGCCGAGCGAGCGCCGCCGGCGCCGGCAGCGGCGGAGCGCCGGCCAGGCGUCAUUCCCUCUGCUCUGCUGGCGGUGUGUGGUCGCUCGGCUCUCUGUCUCUGUGUCCGGCGCCCCUCGGCCGCUCUCGCUCUUCUGCAGCGCUGCUGUGUCGUCUCUGUCUCACCGUCUACCUUCUCUGUCAUCCUGGAGGCGUCCUGCGUCGAAAUGCGUGGUUCGGAGGAGCUGAUGACCGCUGCUGCCGUACCGACCAACGGUGCCAUGACACUCACGGCGGACAACAACAAUGACGCCAAGAAGGUGAAGCUGGACAGCAAGCCCAGCCGCGUGGUGCACAUCCGCAACAUCCCGACCGAUGUCAGCGAGACGGAGGUCAUCCACCUCGGCAUCCCCUUCGGCAAGGUCACCAACGUGCUCGUCCUCAAGGGCAAAAACCAGGCGUUCCUGGAGAUGGCGGACGAGGUGGCCGCCACUCAGAUGGUGGCCUACUUCGCCAACGGCACCGCCCAGCUGCGCGGCCGCUCUGUCUACGUCCAGUUCUCCAACCACAAGGAGCUCAAGACGGACCAGACGCACUCGAAUGCUAACGCGUCUGCUCAGGCGGCCCUGCAGGCUGCGCAGUCUAUGACGGGCGGUGACACCCAGGGUGGACCCAACACGGUGCUGCGGGUCAUCAUCGAGCACAUGGUCUACCCGGUCACACUAGAUGUGCUUCAGCAGAUUUUCUCCCGCGUCGGUAAGGUGCUGAAGAUCGUCACCUUCACCAAGAACAGCUCGUUCCAGGCGCUGAUCCAGUACCCGGACGUGGUGACCGCGCAGGCUGCCAAACUGCAACUGGACGGCCAGAACAUCUACAACUCGUGCUGCACCCUACGCAUCGAGUACUCUAAACUCACCAGCCUCAACGUCAAGUACAACAACGACAAAUCGCGCGACUACACCAAUCCCAGCCUGCCCACAGGUGACCCCACGCUCGAUUCGGCUGGCUUUAUGCUGGGAGGCGGGUCUCCCGGCAUGCUGUCGCCAUUCGGCCUGCACGGCCUGACACCGUCGCUGGCCGGCUUCGCGGGCAUGGGCGGAAUGGGAGGAAUGCCCGGAAUGGGCGGCGGAAUGGGAGGAGGCAUGGGCGGAGUACCAUUCGGCGGUCUGAUGCCCGGAAACCUGAGCGGAGCCGGUAUCGGCAUGGGCCGUCUGCAGGGUAACCCGCUCACCGGCGGAACGGUGCUGCUCGUCUCCAACCUGGAUGAGGAGAUGGCCUCUCCUGAAGCUCUCUUCACUCUCUUCGGCGUUUACGGUGACGUAACUCGCGUGAAGAUCCUCUUCAACAAGAAGGACAACGCCCUGGUACAAAUGGCCGAGCCGCACCAGGCCAAUCUCGCACUCAGCCAUCUGGACAAGGUGAAGGUGUGGGGCCGCCAGAUCCGGGUGAUGCCCAGCAAACACCAGGUGGUGCAGAUGCCCAAGGAGGGUCAGCCGGACGCCGGCCUCACCAAGGACUUCACCAACUCUCCGCUGCACCGCUUCAAGAAGCCGGGCAGCAAGAACUACCAGAACAUCUACCCGCCGUCGGCGACGCUGCACCUCUCCAACAUCCCGCCGCACGUCACCGAACAGGAUAUCCGGCAGGCCUUCGAGGUGGCCGGCUUCGACGUCAAAAACUUCAAGUUCUUCCCGAAGCGUGACGCCAUUGAGGGCGACAACGGCCAGCGGCGGGACCACCGGAUGGCGCUCGUGCAGCUGAGCAACGUCGAGGAUGCCGUCAUGGCUCUCAUUAAAAUGCACAACUACCAGCUCAGUGACGCUAAUCACCUCAGGGUCUCCUUCUCAAAGUCAACGAUCUAGGCCGCGCCACGGUGACUGACGGCCAACGACAGAGCGUGUGUCACAACGGCGCGACGGUGGCGCCACUGGCGGCCGGCCGCGGAAGCUCCGCGCUUCAGAGACGUCCGCCGCCGCGGAGACUAUUUUUGCAUUUGCUUACAUUAGAUAGUGUAUAGUUGCGUUCGGCUGGCCGCGCCGCCGGUGUGGGCUGGUGCCGGCCGGUAUUGUAGCUGUGGACCCGUCACCAGAAGGACGGCCGCCGAGCGCGGCCCGCGGCGCUGGCGCACAGACGCGCGCGCCACUGAGUUCAGAGGAGACAACGUUAAGAAGACGUGUAGUGUACCAUUCCUGUAACAGCGAACAAAAUUUGUGAAGGCAUUGUGUUGUUAAUUUAUUGGUGUGUGGGUGUCGGCGAAGGUGCGCGCGCGCGGCGCCGGCGGAAGGCCGCCGGUCGCUCCGCGCGCCGCCCCGCCAGGGAACUACAAGGGAACAAAUCACAACGGGGGCGUGGCGGCCGCGACGCACCCGCCAACAGUAUUGUGACAGCUUUAAGGCCCGCCCGUCAAAUUGGUUUGGGCUGUGACAAUCCUCUAAAACCAGCACAAACAACAUCUUCACCCGCCCGCUCGGAUAGUUGGCCGCCCGGCCGCUGGGCGGCGCGCGCGUCGCCCCGGCGGCCGGGCGUGAACAUAUCAACUCCCAAACCUGCUAUUUUUGUACCAUCUCGGUGCCUUUUGGCUAGCGAGCUCGGGAGCGGACGCGGCUCCCGCUCUCCAGUACCCUUGUUCUCUCUCUAAACCCUGUGCAUAAAUAUACAUAGCUGUCUCCUUUAGAGUUGGUUGUAGCUGUUUGUGUCUGGAUUUUUUACUCGUAGAGGUCGCCGGCGGCCGGCGCGACGCCGUUUGUAUUGGAUUUGUAUUGCUGGUCGUAUGGUGUGUGUCGCUGUUGUCAGGACGCGCGGCGGUGUGUGUAUGUGUGUGUGUGGUGGUGACGUCACCACCAGGGUGGGUGGGCGCGUGUGACGUCACACGGGGCAGCUGUUGAGUUGUUGGACGAGCCAGGGACGCCGCGCGAGAACGCGCGCCACUGGCGCCCGAGAGCCAUUUUUGUAAUAAAAGCCGGUAGCGCCGAGGUUGUUGGCCGGCCCGACUGGUGCCCGCCGCUGUCCGUCGUCUGAGCUGUCCGCUGUCCGCUGUUCGUUCGCUCCCUGUCCGCCUGGGCCGUCUCUCCGGCCGCUGCCACCCAUGACCGCUGCGCGCGCCGCUCGUUGCUCGAUCGUCCGUCUGUCUGUCUGUCGUCUGCCUCACCUGUGCUCUCUGCGCGCCGCUCGCAUCUGACCCCUCUCGCGCGCGCGCGGUGUGUUAUUCCAGUAAUUAAACCUCCUCGACGUUGA
rnacentral:misc_RNA from 1 species